UACGUAGGGGGCAAGCGUUGUCCGGAUUUAUUGGGCGUAAAAGGCUUGUAGGUGGCCACGCCAAGUCGGAUGUGAAAUCUCCCGGCUCAACUGGGAGGGGUCAUUCGAUACUGGCGGGCUCGAGGCCGGUAGGGGGAAGUGGAAUUCCCGGUGUAGUGGUGGAAUGCGUAGAUAUCGGGAGGAACACCGGUGGCGAAGGCGGCAUCCUGGACCGAGAUUGGCGCUGAGGCGCGAAAGCCAGGGGAGCAAACGGG
rnacentral:rRNA from 1 species